AGGUAUAUUUUUAUGUCUUUGAUGUUAAGCAUAUUGUUUUCUUUCUCCAACGGAGGCAGACCUUGUAAAGGCAGCGGAGGUGAAUGUGUGCCAAUCUCAAAGGCACACAACCAAUGUGCAAAAAUGGAACGGCAUCCCUACCUAACAUUUGAGUCGUCCGAUUGUUCGAACAACGAACUGUGUUGUAUUCACGUAAUUUAAUUGGAACAGAUGCUCAAAGUUCUACAGUAAAUACGACUAAAGUUACCCCAAACUCCCAACCAAUACUUCAAAGAGUUAUUCCCAUUGUAUUAGAUUCCGAGUGCAAUAAGGACCAUAAAAGGGGAUUUAGCCACUGAAUUAAACAUCUUCAAGGUGCA